rnacentral:misc_RNA from 1 species
AAGUCGUAACAAGGUUUCCGUAGGUGAACCUGCGGAAGGAUCAUUAACACGUAUCCAAACGUUAAAACCCCCCCCCGUGAACCUUCAUCCUGCUCUUGUACCCCGCAUAGUUCGCAAUCUCUGAUAAAUCAUAGCCCGGAAAGCCCGAGUGUACGGUCUACAGGAAUCGUAGAAGCGCUAUCCUUGCACAAUCAAUGACACUUUCCGACACUGACUGCUUGGGGAAACAUUGCCUAUAGAACUACCGCUCGAUUGUGACUGUUCCAAUGUUCGCACGUAGCCAGAGGUCUCUCAAUCACUACAACUUGCAGGAGCUUUGCCAAAGGGUCCCCAUGCCCCCUAAUAACCCCACAGUUUAAUGUGAAGCUCAAUGUAAUACAUUGGGUAAAAAAACCGAACAACUGUUAACAAUGGAUAUCUUGGUUCUC